AGUGGAUUUACAAAAAUCCGCCAAAUAGUUGCACUUCUACAUUUUUCGACCCAGAAUGAGCCUAUAUGAAAUACUGAAGGAGGAGCCAGAAAUAGUUGCUAUUAUUGGUGUGACUCUACUUUUUUUCUUUACAGCAUAUUCUGUAACUUGCUACCAUCUUGGAUUUUACUACGGAUUCUAUGAUGGGUCUCCACAAGAAGAAACUAAAUCCUCUUAAAAUUUCAGAAAGACCGAGGUUUGCUGGAAAAGAAAAAUGUUUACGAAAUAUUUGAAAAAUUAUUCAUUUUCACAGUAAUAAAAGUACAUAAAUAACA